AACACCUUUUGAAUAACUGGAUGCAAGAUAUGCAGAUAUGGGCUUAUAGUUCAGACGGAGGUGCAAAACAACAUGAAUCAUUUUGAGAGAAAGGAACUGUUUUAUCUAAUCAUUCUUUUCUUAGAUUGCUUCAGCUAUUU